UGACAGUGCGCUUACAUAUAAUAAUAAAUUC
rnacentral:piRNA from 1 species